ACAGGGGUUGGACAAUGAAACUGAAACACCUGUCAUCAUUUUAGUGUGGGAUUUUAGGUUUCAUGGCUAAAUUGGAGCAGCCUGGUGUUCAAUCUUCAUUAAUUGCACAUUGCACCAGUAAGAGCAGAGUGUGAAGGUUCAAUUAGCAGGGUAAGAGCACAGUUCUGCUCUAAAUAUUACAAUGCACACAACAUUAUGGGAGACAUACCAGAGUUCAAAAGAGGACAAAUUGUUGGUGCACGUCUUGCUGGAGCAUCUGUGACCAAGACAGCAAGUCUUUGUGAUGCAUCAAGAGCCACGGUAUCCAGGGUAAUGUCAGCUCAGCAUACCACCAAGAAGCACCAACCACAUCCAACAGGAUUAACUGUGGACGCUGUAAGAGGAAGCUGUCUGAAAGGGAUGUUCGGGUGCUAACCCGGAUUGUAUCCAAAAAAACAUAAAACCACGGCUGAUCAAAUCACGCAGAAUUCAAUGUGCACCUCAACUCUCCUGUUUCCACCAGAACUGUCCGUCACCACAAUCAAUUAUUGUGCUCUAAAACCAGGUGUUUCAGUUUCAUUCUCUAACCCCUGUACAUAAUACAUAAUAUUCCAUCUCAAUACAUCCCUGCAUCCAUACAUUCAGCAUUUCUCUGCAUUACUAGCUUUAUAUUAGUUUACAUUGUUCUCAGUGUAACGAGCCAUUAUUUAAUCCACAUUAAUCCAUAUUUAUAUGGAGACGCUUUAGAACAUCGUCAGCACAGAAACAGGAUCAUUUUAAUUCUGUGUUUAUCAGUGCAGCUGUUCUAAACAAGCCCUUCUGUGAUUUAUGAGAAAUAUAUUUGUCAGGCUGCCAAACUCGACAUUUAUAUUCAGCUGUUGUUUGUGUCCAGUAUAAAAUAUCUCUGUCUGCGUGA